rnacentral:tRNA from 1 species
GCCGCUGUGGUGGAACUGGUAGACACGCACGACUCAAAAUCGUGUGGGAGUAAUCCCUUGUCGGUUCGACUCCGACCAGCGGCACCA